GACGAACGCUGGCGGCGUGCUUAACACAUGCAAGUCGAACGGAAAGGCCCUGCUUUUGUGGGGUGCUCGAGUGGCGAAAGGGGGAGUAAAACGUGAGUAACCUGCCCUUGAAUGUGGGAUAACUUCAGGAAAAUGGGGCUAAUACCGGAUAGGAGCUCCUGCUGCAUGGUGGGGGUUGGAAAGUUUCGGCGGUUGGGGAUGGACUCGCGGCUUAUCAGCUUGUUGGUGGAGUAGUGGCUUACCAAGGCUUUGACGGGUAGCCGGCCCGGGAGGGUGACCGGCCUCAUUGCGACUGCGGUACGCACCAGUCUCCUACUGGACGCAGUAGUGGGGAACAUUACACAAUGGGGGCAAGCCUGUGAUAGCGACGCCGCGUUCGUAAUGACGUCCUUUUGGUUGUAAACCGCUUUCUCCUGUGAUGAGCCGUGAUUGUCGGUAAUGGGUAAAAAAGCACCGGCUAACUACGUG
rnacentral:rRNA from 1 species